rnacentral:rRNA from 1 species
AGUGAACGCUGGCGGUAGGCCUAACACAUGCAAUUCGAACGGCAGCACAGUAAGAGCUUGCUCUUACGGGUGGCGAGUGGCGGACGGGUGAGGAAUACAUCGGAAUCUACUUUUUCGUGGGGGAUAACGUAGGGAAACUUACGCUAAUACCGCAUACGACCUACGGGUGAAAGCAGGGGAUCUUCGGACCUUGCACGAUUGAAUGAGCCGAUGUCGGAUUAGCUGGUUGGCGGGGUAAAGGCCCACCAAGGCGCCGAUCCGUAGCUGGUCUGAGAGGAUGAAAAGCCACCCUGGAACUGAGACACGGCCCAGACUCCUACGGGAGGCCGCAGUGGGGAAUAUUGGACAAUGGGGGCAAGCCUGAUCCAGCCAUACCGCGUGGGUGAAGAAGGCCUUCGGGUUGUAAAGCCCUGUUGUUGGGAAAGAAAAGCAGCAGGUUAAUACCCCGCUGUUCUGACGGUACCAAAAGAAUAAGCACCGGCUAACUUCGUG